rnacentral:rRNA from 1 species
AUUGAACGCUGGCGGCAUGCCUUACACAUGCAAGUCGAACGGCAGCACGGGAGCAAUCCUGGUGGCGAGUGGCGAACGGGUGAGUAAUAUAUCGGAACGUGCCCGGUCGUGGGGAUAACGUAGCGAAAGCUACGCUAAUACCGCAUACGAUCUACGGAUGAAAGCGGGGGGAUCGCAAGACCUCGCGCGAUUGGAGCGGCCGAUAUCAGAUUAGGUAGUUGGUGAGGUAAAGGCUCACCAAGCCGACGAUCUGUAGCUGGUCUGAGAGGACGACCAGCCACACUGGGACUGAGACACGGCCCAGACUCCUACGGGAGGCAGCAGUGGGGAAUUUUGGACAAUGGGCGCAAGCCUGAUCCAGCAAUGCCGCGUGCAGGAUGAAGGCCUUCGGUU